GAUGAACGCUGGCGGCGUGCCUAAUACAUGCAAGUCGAGCGAACAGACGAGGAGCUUGCUCCUCUGACGUUAGCGGCGGACGGGUGAGUAACACGUGGAUAACCUACCUAUAAGACUGGGAUAACUUCGGGAAACCGGAGCUAAUACCGGAUAAUAUAUUGAACCGCAUGGUUCAAUAGUGAAAGACGGUUUUGCUGUCACUUAUAGAUGGAUCCGCGCCGCAUUAGCUAGUUGGUAAGGUAACGGCUUACCAAGGCAACGAUGCGUAGCCGACCUGAGAGGGUGAGCGGCCACACUGGAACUGAGACACGGUCCAGACUCCUACGGGAGGCAACAGUAGGGAAUCUUCCGCAAUGGGCGAAAGCCUGACGGAGCAACGCCGCGUGAGUGAUGAAGGUCUUCGGAUCGUAAAACUCUGUUAUUAGGGAAGAACAAAUGUGUAAGUAACUAUGCACGUCUUGACGGUACCUAAUCAGAAAGCCACGGCUAACUACGUG
rnacentral:rRNA from 1 species